GUUCCAGAAGACCUGUAUGAUCCUUUGGAGAAAGAUAAAUCAGGGGUGCUCGAUGAUCGACUAGAGAAAUAUUGGCGUCAAGAAGUGGCGAAAUCCAAAAAAUAUAACCGCCAACCGGACCUCGGGAAAACUUUAUUUCGAUGUUUCCUAGGGGAGUUCAUGAUCCUUAGACUUCUGCAUACUGUAAAUAAAUGCCUCAGAUUAUGCACCCCAGUAUUGAUUGGAAACCUACUACUCUACUUCAAAGAAGAUACAGAUGUAUCUUACAAUACAGCACUGUUGUUUGCAG